rfam:Picea glauca, whole genome shotgun sequence.
ACAUGCCUACAACAUAGCAUUAAUGCACCGGAUCCCAUUAGAACUCUGCAAUUAAGCACGCUCAGGCUACAGUAGUACUGAGAUGGGUGACUGCCUAGGAAGUCCUAGUGUUUUACAUGCC